GAGUUUGAUCCUGGCUCAAAACUAACGCUGGCGGCGUGUCUUAGUCAUGCAAGUCGAACGAGAAAGCGUUCUUCGGAACGCGAGUACAGUGGCGGACGGGUGAGUAACACGUGGGGAACCUGCCCUCAAGCUGGGAACAACCCGCUUAACGGCGGGCUAAUACCGAAUGUGGUUGUCAAUCCGCAUGGUAUGACAACUAAAGGUGGCCUCUCCUUGGAAGCUGCCGCUUGAGGAUGGCCCCGCGCUCAAUUAGCUUGUUGGUAGGGUAACGGCCUACCAAGGCUACGAUUGAUAGCCGACCUGAGAGGGCGGACGGCCACACUGGGACUGAGACACGGCCCAGACUCCUACGGGAGGCAGCAGUGGGGAAUAUUGCGCAAUGGGCGAAAGCCUGACGCAGCAACGCCGCGUGGGGGAUGACGGCCUUCGGGUUGUAAACCCCUUUCAGCAGGGACGAAAAUGACGGUACCUGCAGAAGAAGCCCCGGCCAACUACGUGCCAGCAGCCGCGGUAACACGUAGGGGGCAAGCGUUGUCCGGAUUUAUUGGGCGUAAAGAGCUCGUAGGCGGUUGCGUAAGUCGGAUGUUAAAACUCAGGGCUCAACCCGGAGACGCCAUCCGAAACUGCGCUGACUAGAGUCCGGUAGGGGAGCAUGGAAUUCCUGGUGUAGCGGUGAAAUGCGCAGAUAUCAGGAGGAACACCAGUGGCGAAGGCGGUGCUCUGGGCCGGUACUGACGCUGAGGAGCGAAAGCGUGGGUAGCGAACAGGAUUAGAUACCCUGGUAGUC
rnacentral:rRNA from 1 species